rnacentral:rRNA from 1 species
AUUGAACGCUGGCGGCAUGCGUAACACAUGCAAGUCGAACGGUGUUUGGUGCUUGCACCAGACAUAGUGGCGGACGGGUGAGUAAUGCGUAGGAAUCUGUCUUAGAGAGGGGGACAACCCGAGGAAACUUGGGCUAAAACCGCAUAUUCUCGAGAGAGGAAAGCAGGGGACCGGAAACGGCCUUGUGCUCUAAGGUGAGCCUACGUCGGAUUAGCUAGUUGGUAGGGUAAAAGCCUACCAAGGCGAUGAUCUGUAGCUGGUCUGAGAGGACGGACAGCCACACGUGGGACUGAGACACGGCCCAGACUCCUACGGGAGGCAGCAGUGGGGAAUAUUGGACAAGUGGGGGAACCCUGAUCCAGCGAUGCCGCGUGUGUGAAGAAGGCCUGCGGGUUGUAAAGCACUUUC